rnacentral:rRNA from 1 species
AGCGGCGCACGGGUGCGUAACGCGUAUGCAACCUGCCUUAUACAAAGGGAUAGCCCAUGGAAACGUGGAUUAAUAUCUUAUAGGACUUAUGAAUCGCAUGGUUUAUAAGUUAAAACUACGGUGGUAUAAGAUGGGCAUGCGUCUGAUUAGGUAGUUGGUAGGGUAACGGCCUACCAAGCCGACGAUCAGUAGGGGUUCUGAGAGGAUUACCCCCCACACUGGUACUGAGACACGGACCAGACUCCUACGGGAGGCAGCAGUGAGGAAUAUUGGUCAAUGGGCGAGAGCCUGAACCAGCCAUCCCGCGUGCAGGAUGACGGCCCUAUGGGUUGUAAACUGCUUUUCUGCUCCAAGAAACCCUGUUACGUGUAACAGGUUGACGGUAGAGUAGGAAUAAGCAUCGGCUAACUCCGUGCCAGCAGCCGCGGUAAUACGGAGGAUGCAAGCGUUAUCCGGAUUCAUUGGGUUUAAAGGGUGCGCAGGUGGGAAUGUAAGUCAGUGGUGAAAUACUGCCGCUUAACGGUAGAGCUGCCAUUGAUACUGCGUUUCUUGAGUAUGGUUGAGGUAGGUGGAAUGUGUUGUGUAGCGGUGAAAUGCAUAGAUAUGACACAGAACGCCGAUUGCGAAGGCAACUUACUAAGCCAUUACUGACGCUGAGGCACGAAAGCGUGGGUAGCGAACAGGAUUAGAUACCCUGUAGUCCACGCUGU